AUAUUUCGAUGUUAUUGUAAAAAACAGAGAGUGUUUUCAGUGGACAGAUGCUUGUUCACAGUGCAGGAGGUUUUUGUACGGCCACUUAAUGAGUUUGUAUCACUGUGGGUCACUUUUGGUGGAGGAACCAAACUCGUCGUUGACUUGGGUGUGGUGCAGCCCACCCUGACCGUCCUCCCCCCCUCCAGAGAGCAGCUGCAGCAGGGAGAUGCCACACUGGUGUGUCUGUCCAGCGGGGGCUUCCCCUCCACCUGGAGGCUGGGCUGGAAGGUGGGGGGCAGCAGCAGCUCCUCAGGGGCGUCACACAGCCCGGAGGUCCUGGGGACGGACGGCCGCUACAGCUGGAGCAGCACCCUGAGCCUCUCUGCAGACCAGUGGAGGAAGGCGGGCUCAGUCAGCUGUGAGGCCAGUCUGAAUGGACAGAGCCCCGUCACUCAAAGCCUGGAGCCUGAGCGCUGCUCAGAGUAGAGCUUCAGCAACACUUCCUGUCUGGAGAUGAUGCUGCUGCUUUCAUAGAGAUCCUGAUGAAGCUCCAGAUCUCCUCUGUUCACAUGUUUCUGCAGGUUUCACAGCUCUCUGCUCAGUGUUUCAGUCUGCAUGUUGCUGUCUAAUACUGAUCUUCUGCAUAUUCUUCUUCUUUACUUUCAAACUGAAUAUGAUCAGUUUCACUCCAAGAGAAACUUCAUCUAUGAACUAUCAUUUAAUAAAACAGUGAAUAAUAAAA